AUAAACUAGGAUUAGAUACCCUAUUAUACUGAAAAGAAAUUUUUUUGCUUGAGUAGUAAUUAGUUAUGAGCUUGAAACUUAAAGAAUUUGGCGGUAUUCAAGUCUAGUUAGAGGAACCUGUUCUUUAAAACGAUAUGCCACGAAUUAUCUUACUUUUUUUUGUAUUCAGUUUGUAUACCGCCAUUAUUAAAUAGUAUUAUUAAAUGUCUAUUGUAAUAUAUUUUUAUAGAAUAUUAGGUCAAGGUGCAGCCUAUAGAAAAGUAGUUGUGGGUUACAUUGUAUUUUAUAUUCGGAUAAAUUAUAUAAACUAUAAUUUUGAAGUUGGAUUUAAUUGUAACUUUUUUUUAAUAAGUAAAAUUGAUAUUAGCUCUAGAAUAUGUACACAUCGCCCCGCUCUUA
rnacentral:rRNA from 1 species